rnacentral:lncRNA from 1 species
AGGCAUCAUUUGACCUAUAAUAUUAUUUAUUACCAGAUCGGCAGACAGAUAAUGCACUUCCCUGAUGAGCCAUAGCAGAUUCUUUUUAAUAUCCUAGAGGCAACACUAUAACAAAUGAGUUUGGAACAGGGCUCAUUCCCCAGAUGCUCAGUGCUUUGGAAGAUGGAACAUAAUCUUAGAUCUAGAAUGGGAAGAGACUUCAGAGAUCAACCCCCUCCUUUUACAGAGCAAACUGGAACUCAAGGAGACAAAGGGACUCCUUUAUUACAGAUGUGAUGUUUUUACGUUACUAGGAUUAGAGGUGAUCCAGUGACAAUGGCCUCCUUAUUGUUCCUCUAGAGCAUUAUCCCAUCUCGAGACUCUUAAUAUUUCAAUGUCUACCUCCCAUGACUGGAAUUCUCUCCCAUCCAUCUCCAUUUCCUGACUUCCUGGCUGCCCCCAAGUCCUAAGCAAAAUCCUAACUUCUGUAAGAAGCCUUUCCAUACCCCCCCUUUACUAAUUGUAUUUACCCAGAAUUGUUUCCAAUUUAUCCUCUGUAGAGUUUAUUUCUAAACCAUUCAUUUCAUGAUGUCUUCCUCUAUUAGAUUGUGAACUCCUUGAGAGUAAGGUGUAUGUUUUUUGUUAUUUUGUUUUUUUCUUUUAUUUUAAUCCCUAGCUCUUGAUACAGUGCCUGACAUAAAGUAAACAAUAAAUGCUUAUUGACUGAUUUCA